UGCUUCAACCUCAUUUGUAUUCUCUAGGGCACUGAAGGAGGAGUUGCAGGAGAACUACCUCCAGUUCCAUCUUAUGCUACACCUCUUCGACCCACUGCCAAUUUAGUGCAAUAUGAAAGAAUGGAGACUGAUGUUUGAAUGAUCAUUACACACAGGUCCCUCUCUCCUUUCUCUCUCCUCCCUUCAUUCCUCAAUUAGACAAAUCUUAAUACAUUACACUCACUUAUUUUAAUAGCAUGCCUCUCACACACUCUUGUAGACAUCGUUUUAUUUUGCUUAUAAAGCUCUAUUAUAAAAAUGAA